rnacentral:lncRNA from 1 species
GGCUCGACAGAGCAUCGACAGUUAACCCUUCGUCAUGGUCAAGCGUGAUGAAGGCACGUGUGGGGUCAUUUGUCACCCUUGAGUCCUGCUACCAUGACUUCAUUCGGGUUUAUAUUUAAAUGAAAUGAUGGCCAUAGUCAAAAUUUUUCAAAGUAAUUGAUGGAAGAGAGGAUAUCAUUAAUUUCGUAUUGAUGAUGAGUUAAAUAAGGCUCUAACUUACAAAAGAAGGAACCAACCUUCCAACGUGAGACACUCGUUAAAAAAUAAACUCAUAAAAUCUAUGGACCA